UUCACAGGCUACCUAGUACCCUGUGCAGUUUUCAGAUUAGGCUUCAGGGAAUGGCAAGAGUGACAGAAGAGGUAACCACCCAUCCAGGAGAUGGCACUGCCAUUGCACUCAGCAAGGAGUCUGGUUUCUUUGCCUCCAUGCACUUGUUGAAUCAUGAUCUGACCCAGGGUGUUUAAAGAAAAGCAAUUACCUCUGUGAUGACACUUAAUAUGCCAAGAUUCAGCCUCGAGCAAUUUUUUAUGGCUGUGUUAUAAACUCCAGAAACUACAGAGUACACAAGAUCCACUGAAAGAUGUUUCACUGCAGCCGUUCUGACAGGAAAACAGUGGUUAUGCUGGCAUUUGAAAAUUCUUGAAAAAAAGACACAUAAGCAAGCGAAAACCAGUGGUUUAAGGG
rnacentral:lncRNA from 1 species